MUACGUGCCAGCAGCCGCGGUAAUACGGAAGGUCCAGGCGUUAUCCGGAUUUAUUGGGUUUAAAGGGAGCGUAGGCGGAUUAUUAAGUCAGUGGUGAAAGACGGUGGCUCAACCAUCGUUAGCCAUUGAAACUGGUAGUCUUGAGUGCAGACAGGGAUGCUGGAACUCGUGGUGUAGCGGUGAAAUGCUUAGAUAUCACGAUGAACUCCGAUCGCGAAGGCAGGUGUCCGGGCUGCAACUGACGCUGAGGCUCGAAAGUGUGGGUAUCAAACAGGAUUAGAUACCCUGGUAGUCCACACAGUAAACGAUGUAUACUCGCGGUUUGCGAUACAAUGUAAGCCGCCAAGCGAAAGCAUUAAGUAUACCACCUGGGGAGUACGCCGGCAACGGUGAAACUCAAAGGAAUUGACGGGGGCCCGCACAAGCGGAGGAACAUGUGGUUUAAUUCGAUGAUACGCGAGGAACCUUACCCGGGCU
rnacentral:rRNA from 1 species